rnacentral:rRNA from 1 species
AUGAUGCAUGUAAUGGCAAAGUUCUAUGGAUCUGAGAUGAUGGUGCCAUUUGGACCAAAGGCAAUAACAAAUCUUUGUACAAGUUUUCGUAGAGAUGACACAAAGGAGGGUGAUCUGAUUGAGACAAUUGCGCACUUCAAGGAUAUACAAAAAACCGAUCCAGACUUCUUCUAUAAGGUGAAAUAUGAUGAAGAGGACAGAGUUGUCAACAUAUUUUGGGUGGAUGGCUUAGCUCGAAAAGAUUAUGCGGAGGCAUACCACGAUUGCAUAUCGUUUUACACCACCUACAUGACCAACAUGUACAAUAUGUCGUUCGCGCCCUUCAUAGGAAUAAAACGGCAUGGCCAAUCUUUCAUGCUGGGUUGCGCGUUUGUGAGGCAGGAGUUGGCAUCGAGCUUUGAUUGGGUCUUUGGAGCAUUCCUAGAGGCUAUGGAUGGCAAACCUCCUGACAACUUCAUCACCGAUCAGGAUGGUGCAAUGAGGCAGUCAAUACAGAGCAUCUUUCCAACCACCAUGCACCGCUGUUGUCGAUGGCACAUCAUGAAAAAGUCUCAAGAAAAAGUUGGUUGGCUGCUGUGCCGGAAUCCAGGACUCUCUGAUGAUUUCAACAAAUGUGUUCACUUCAGCUUCACUAUAGACGAGUUUGAGCAGAAUUGGGCUAGGUUAAUGAUGAAGUAUGAGGCUAUGACACACACGCACUUUGAGAAGUUGUACGAAUACAGGUCAACUUGGGUGUCGUGCUACUUCAAACACAGGUUCUUCCCGUUCCUACAGUCUACACAGCGUAGUGAGGGGUUCAACACCGUUCUGAAAAGAUAUGUGAACCCACACAACUCAAUGCUGAACUUCGUCAAGCAAUAUGAAAAAAUCCAGAACCACAUCCUUGCCAAGGAAGGCUGCAAUGAUUACAGGACAUAA